AAAGGCUCACAAGAUGGUCAGAAAAAGCAAUGCAAGGCACCUCUUAAGAACUUUAGAAUUGAUUGUGAGACAUGGGAGACACUGGCACAGGACUGCCUAGUAUGGUGUGCCCUCACCAGAGAAGGACAAACUUGGCAUUCAUUCAUUCCACGGGAAAUGUCUUUGUUACUGAAGCCGUCGUGACAAAGAUUGGCCUUGACUUGUCCUUUGGAAGGACAGAGAUUGCCUGGAAAAUCUUAUACCUCAUUUUUCUUCACUCCCAGUUAAUCAUAAAUAAAGCUUGCACAUGUAGUCUUAGGAUGCCAGGUAUGGCUGCUGCCUGGACUGUUAGUUGAUUAAUUUAUUUAUUGAGUACAUAUUAAAUUCAAAGUCUCCUUUAAAAACAUUUUUUAAAUGUUACAUUACCUUAUGCUUUUAUAUCAAAAUCAAUUCCCUUUGAAUCAGUCUUUCUUUCUUUCCCCUUCUCAUUCCUCCAGCAAAAAAAGAGAAAAGAGAAAAAAAAGAAGAAAAAAAGAGAAAAAAGAGAAAAACAAAUUCCUAUAUAGUUGAAGUCCAAAAUAUCUCAUUCCACAUCUUGAAUCCAUUAUCCCAUUAUCUCUCCUGUUUGUAAGUGAGUAGACCUGUUUAUCAGCAAUCCCCUGGAAUCAUGUACCAAAGUUUUUUUUGACAGUUAUUUACUGUGCUUUAUAGAUUAAUGAAAGUAUUCUCUUGUU